rnacentral:rRNA from 1 species
UACGGGGGGGGCAAGCGUUGUUCGGAAUUACUGGGCGUAAAGGGCUCGUAGGCGGCCAACUAAGUCGGAUGUGAAAUCCCCAGGCUCAACCUGGGAACUGCAUCCGAUACUGGAUGGCUUGAAUUCGGGAGAGGGAUGCAGAAUUCCAGGUGUAGCGGUGAAAUGCUGUAGAUAUCGUGGAGGAAUACCGGUGGCGAAGGCGGCAUCCUGGACCGACAUUGACGCUGAGGAGCGAAAGCCAGGGGAGCAAACGGG